rnacentral:misc_RNA from 1 species
GAUGAAGAACGCAGCAAAACGCGAUAUGUAAUGUGAAUUGCAGAAUUCAGUGAAUCAUCGAAUCUUUGAACGCACAUGGCGCCUUCCAGUAUCCUGGGAGGCAUGCCUGUCCGAGCGUCGUUUCAACCCUCGAGCCCCCGUGGCCCGGCGUUGGGGAUCUGCCCAGGCAGUCCCCGAAAACCAGUGGCGGACCCGUUACAGGCCCUUCCCUUGCGUAGUAGCAUUCGCCUCGCAUCGGGAGCCGGCGGGCUUCCAGCCUCUAAACCCCCAUCAAGUCCGCCCCGGCGGCACCAAGGUUGACCUCGGAUCAGGUAGGAAUACCCGCUGAACUUAAGCAUAUCAAUAAGCGGAGGA